CACUGAGCCCCACCUUUGUGCGUAUUUUUAGAGGUUAAUCCCAGCAGCACUCCUGGUAGAGAGCUAAUAACCUGUGAUGACUGAUGAGAAAACCGGGGAGAAGAAGUUCAAGUACAUCCAAGGUCACCUGACUGGAGGCUGGCUGACCCAGGACCUAGACCUGGCCUGUCUCUGAGGCCGUCUCUCACUUGCUGUAUUAUACAUUUGCACAGAGUGCUGGGCUGUCUGGAGUUAUUCGGAUUCCAUGGACAGCUCUGCCUACAGCUUUGUGUGGUUACUUGCCGGAGCCAGGAUGGCCGGGCUCCCCACAUUGGCUGCUCUUCUUGGAUUGAAUGUACUGAUCUCCCUCUUGCUCUGAGUAUCAGUUGACAUCCAGGAAGUGUCUCCACUCAGCCGAAUUGCCUCAUCAGCAAAUGAACACCCUGGCAGGGUUUGCAUCCAGCACUCUCCCUAUGGGUUGGUCCCCCACUCUGUCGUGCCUGUUUCUUCACCCAAGAUUCAGUGAGAGCUUGGGCCCAGCACUCUGCAGUCCUGACCUUCAAGGGCCUGCUGUUACUGCAGAUAACGGGAAGCUGCUGUUUCUGUGAGAACUUCUUAUCACUUAGGAGGGCAUUUUUCUGUUUUCCUAGACGAGUCUUCAAAAUCCAAUUUCCAUCUCCCACCCACUUCUCUCUCUCUACACGAGACUUUGAUACACAGAAGCUUUGAAGAAGAAAGCUGCCUGUUUCUCAGGGAUGGAAUUUCUUAAUCUGAGCUCCAUGUACAUCUUCCUACACACCUUAUGGAGGUGGGGGUGCAGUUAAGGAAGAGUGUCAUUGGGUGGAACAGUCGGAGGAUAAAGCUGGACUGAGAAAGCUUAAAGAGGAGGGACUUUGCAGCCAGACCUCUGAGGAGGGGCAGGCUUUCCAGCAGAGCCGGGGCUCAGAGCCAUCAAAACAUCCCUCUGAACAGUUAAAAAUAGGACUCUCCUGCAAACAUGGAAUGAACACUCCUCAAAGAUUAACUUACCUCCCUGAACAGGGAGCUGGCAGGCGAGUGAACCCAUUCAAAGGAGAAUUUGAGGAACAGGUGCUCACACCUUAAGCCAGGAAGGCGAACUGAAAUCGGGUUGCUACGUUAAAGGCAAAGCUGGUAGCUGUCCUCCGGGGCAAUGGAGUCAUCACCUGUGGGGUUAUCUUCUUCACCAGGUGGCUGUGGGACUGCCCCUUCUUCCUGCUCUGAGCUGGAUUUCCUCAUCUGAAGAUGAGUGCAGGGGAUGGGCCCGUCAUCGUGCAUACAUCGUAGGUCAGUCUCGAAGAUCGAAUGAAGUCUACAUAUGAAGUGCUUGGCCCAGCCACAACUCAGGCAGCCUGGGAGAAGCCUGGUGCUUGCUUCCCCUCUCUAAGCCCACAGCCCUGGACCUGGAGGACACAUUAGUCAGACAGCCCUCCUGGUUCUCUUCCAACUCACCUGUAAACCCAGGUGCUUGCUGGCUCUGGCAAGAGGACCCUGGCAGUCUUGGUUUAAUUUGGGCAGCUAUAGCAAAAUACCACGAACUCGAGACUGGAAGUCCAAAAACAAGACACCAGAUGAUUCUCGGACUUGACCAGGAUGGCCUGAAUGUUCCCAUCAGCUUGGCUGAUGCUGCUUGGGCAGGCUUCUUCCUGACUCGAGGCACCUGACCUCCCUUUGCUCAGAGCAUUGCUUCAGAAAAAAUUGCGGUUGUAAGUCUCUCUCUGGCCCUUUGAGAUGGAAACCUUCUACAACCCAGGAAUGUAUUUCUCAAGGACCUGGGAGUGGUUCCUUCAAAACAUGAUCAUCAGGAAGAUGGUGCUCCCAGCUCCCAGUCCCUGAGGGAGGGGAGCCUGAUGUUGAUGAGAGGCGACGGGCAAACACACACACAGCCUGUCACAUCAGCCCAUCUUCCCUCAGUGUCCUCCAAAACUUUACCCCUAGCUCAUUCCAAAGUUUCAAAAACCUCCCACCUCUUGUUUCAGUUGAGUUGAGUUCAAUCUCUCUCCCAGGUUGCACUAGUCUUGGAUAAAAUCUUCCUUGCCUGUUUAACUCUGACCAGUACUUUUUUUUUUUUUUUUAAGACUCCAGCAUUUAGUGUUAUAUAUCUUUUCAGGUAAGUUACAUAAGCUGUGCAGCCUCAGUCUCUUUUCAGCCAUCACAUACUUGCUCACAGCAUCUGGGCCACCCUCUUUGUUCCCCACCCUCCUUUCUAAAUGCUUCCUUCCCAUUUUUCAAUGUUCUUCUGCUGAUUUAUCCCUGCCCAGCUGUAGUCAGGGACCCUCCUUUCCCUUGACUCUAAGCCUGAUGAGCUUAGCUCUCUUGUUUUGUUUCUGGGCUACUCUUCAGGCACAGAGUCAAAGUUGGGUGAACUCAUGAAUUUAUGGCUCCCCAUUUUCAUGUCCAGCCCUGGCAUAUAUACAAAGCUCCAGCAUGGUCUUACUGACUGUCCUGGGUUUAUUUCAAACUCAGCAUAGGAAAGAAAGCUUAUAAUUGCCCCCCAUCCCCCAAGACACCACUUUCCCUCCUUAUUUUUUCUGCUUCUCAAAUGCCUCGGUAUUCCCUGAGCCCUGACAUGGCAAAGUGGAGCCAGUCUUUGUCUCCACCCAUAUCUAAUCCGUCUUUCCCUUCUGUUAGGAACAAAGUUCACUCCUCUCUAUUUAUAUGUUGAAAGUCUAGCUUCCAAUGUGAUUACAUUUGGAGAUAGGGCCUUUAAGGAGAUAAUUAAGGUUAAACAUGGUCCUAAGGGUACGGCCUUAACCUGAUGAGACUGGCAUCCUUAUAAGAAGAGACAUCAGACCUCUCCCUCUGCCACAUGAGGACACAUUGAGAAGGCUGCCACCUGAAAGCUGGAAAGAGAGUCCUCAUCAGGAAUCACAGCUGGAAUGUUGAUCUUGGACUUACCAGCCUCCAGAACAUAAGGAAAUAACCACUCAGUGAGUCACUGUCUCAGCAUGUUGAGGGACUGAGCUCCUUGAGGGAAGGGGCCACAUCAUCGAGGGAGAAAGAGAAUUUUAAUGAUCCCACACCUCAGUUUUCAAGCAGAGCCCAAUUUGCUGUCUUGGGUAAUGCUCACAGAAGCCCUGAGAUGCAGGUACUGUCAGUCCAUUGCAGGGGAGGAAUUGAGGUUAAAAAGGUGUCCAAGAUCAUGUGACCUUUCAGGGCCAGGUCUGUACCUUCAGUUUGAUGAAGCAUUUGGAGGGGCUGGAAUGACCCAUCUGGACAUCUGCCCAGUUCAUGCCUGAUACUUGAUAUGAAUAAGGCAAUGGAAGGUGCUGGGGUUUUCAGAGGAUGAAAAAAAUAUAUAGAAUGCUGUAUUAGUCUGUUCACACAUGGCUCUAAAGAUACUACCUGAGGCUGGGUAAUUUAUUAAGGAAAGAGGUUUAAUUGACUCACAGU